CCUACGGGCGGCAGCAGUGGGGAAUAUUGCGCAAUGGGCGAAAGCCUGACGCAGCGACGCCGCGUGAGGGAUGAAGGUCUUCGGAUCGUAAACCUCUGUCAGCAGGGAAGAACGGUCACUGUGCUAAUCAGCAGUGAAUUGACGGUACCUGCAAAGGAAGCACCGGCUAACUCCGUGCCAGAAGCCGCGGGAAUACGGAGGGUGCGAGCGUUAAUCGGAAUUGCUGGGCGUAAAGCGUUCGUAGGCGGUAUGUCAAGUCAAGGGUGAAGUCCCCGCGCUCACCGUGGGAACUGCCUUUGAAACUGGCAAACUGGAGUGUGUGAGAGGAUAGUGGAAUUCCAGGUGUAGGAGUGAAAUCCGUAGAUAUCUGGAGGAACAUCAGUGGCGAAGGCGACUAUCUGGCACAUAACUGACGCUGAGGAGCGAAAGCGUGGGUAGCAAACAGGAUUAGAUACCCCUGUAGUC
rnacentral:rRNA from 1 species